AGUCACCUCAAUCACCACACUUGCCAUUGUGAUUUUACAUGGUUAGUGUUAUUUCUUACAGGUAAUGCUGUUUUGUCCGGAAAGUUGCUGACCUUGUAGCCCAGCCAAUAUUUUGGUGAAGAAGUAGAAGUUCCUGGAUGAAGGCUUGUGGUCAAGAAUGGAACUGAAGGCUUGCCUCAACAUCUUGGCAUAAAAAAAAGUAAGCCAUUGUCUGGAAGCCCCUGUCAACAACCAAUGGGUUAAUACUUUUAAAUGAAUUUCAU
rnacentral:lncRNA from 1 species